GGUUAAGUUAAUAAGGGCGCACGGUGGAUGCCUUGGCACUAAGAGCCGAUGAAGGACGGGACUAACUCCGAUAUGCUUUGGGGAGCUGUAAGUAAGCUUUGAUCCAAAGAUUUCCGAAUGGGGGAACCCAGCAUUUUUUAUAGAAUGUUACUGCUAGCUGAAUACAUAGGCUAGUAGAGG
rnacentral:rRNA from 1 species